CCUACGGGCGGCAGCAGUGAGGAAUAUUGGUCAAUGGGCGAAAGCCUGAACCAGCCAAGUAGCGUGAAGGAUGACUGCCCUAUGGGUUGUAAACCUCUUUUAUAUGGGAGUAAAACAGGGUAUGCAUACCCUCUUGUAUGGACCAUAUCAAUAAGGAACGGCUAAAUUCGUGCCAGGAGCCGCGGUAAUACGGAGGGUUCGAGCGUUACCCGGAUUUUUUGGGGUUAAAGGGAGCGGUGGUGGGGUUUCAAGUCAGUUGGUAAAGUUGCGGGCUCAACCGUAGCAUUGCAGUUGAAACUGGCAGUCUUGAGUACGGUAGAGGUGGGCGGAAUUCGUGGUGUAGCGGUGAAAUGCGUAGAUAUCACGAAGAACUCCGAUGGCGAAGGCAGCUCACUGGACUGCAACUGACACUGAGGCUCGAAAGCGUGGGUAUCAAACAGGAUUAGAUACCCGGGUAGUC
rnacentral:rRNA from 1 species